AAUUUCAGAACAUAGCUGGUAGAAGAUCUUAAAAGGCCAGAGGGAUGGAGGGAGGUGGGGCAGAGGUGGAGGACAGAGAACAGAGAUCAUAUACAAAGGACUUGGACUCAGGUUUGGCUUUGUGUUCUUAAACAAGAAGACAAGGGCAACACUUUCAAAAUUCUGAAGGACAGUAAUCCCCUAGAGUUUUUUUUUUCUAGCUAAAUUAUCAAUCAUAUAUAACAGAAUAAAUCCAUCCAUCCAUAUGUGAGCAUUGCUCCUCAUGCAACAUUUCCUGAAGGCUGAGCCUUUUGGAUGAAGAACAAAUCAGAAGAGAGCCUGGAAACAAGAUGUCAGACGCAGAUAGUAGUAAAGCGAAUCCUCGGAGUGAAGAAAAGAGCAUCCGCGAUGACGCUAGAUGCUGGGUUCAGGCUCCCAGGAUUCCAGGUAUACAGAGGGAAAGGGGACGUCACAGCGAACAGCCUUUUCUCUCUGAACUGCAACCUGGCCAAACAUCUGAAGCCUGGCCCGUGCUCCCCAGUCACUACGUGUCUCAACGGUGCCCAGCCCUGUCUCUGAGCUUACUCACUGCCUUGCUCAACGCCUUUCCCAUAAAAGGCUCUAAUAAAUGCUGAGAAGCCCAAGCCAGACAACCACCCA